rnacentral:rRNA from 1 species
CCUACGGGAGGCAGCAGUGAGGAAUAUUGGUCAAUGGGCGUAAGCCUGAACCAGCCAAGUCGCGUGAGGGAUGAAGGUUCUAUGGAUCGUAAACCUCUUUUAUAAGGGAAUAAAGUGCGGGACGUGUCCCGUUUUGUAUGUACCUUAUGAAUAAGGAUCGGCUAACUCCGUGCCAGCAGCCGCGGUAAUACGGAGGAUCCGAGCGUUAUCCGGAGUUAUUGGGUUUAAAGGGAGCGUAGGCCGCAUGUCAAGCGUGCUGUGAAAUGUCCGGGCUCAACCCGGGCCUUGCAGCGCGAACUGGCGUGCUUGAGUCCGCGGAAAGCAGGCGGAAUUCGUCGGGUAGCGGUGAAAUGCUUAGAGAUGACGAAGAACCCCGAUUGCGAAGGCAGCUUGCUGCAGCGGAACUGACGCUGAUGCUCGAAAGCGCGGGUAUCGAACAGGAUUAGAUACCCGAGUAGUC